rnacentral:rRNA from 1 species
AUGGUGGGAGCUAUUGAAACUCACUACGUUGUUGCCGUAGUCAGCUCGAGGACCAAACAUGUGCGACACUUUCGAGCUUGUAAUCAAGCUACCCCUGCCCCGACGGCGCCGUCGCGUGGCAGAUCCCCAUCUGCACAAGGCGAUGGUGGAGCCCAGGACCACGCGGGGCGAAGGCGCGCUAGGACGUGGGGCGGGCGGAGAUCCCUUGGUAGGCACCAAACACGGGGCCGCGGCGUGGUUCUCCUCCUCGUCAUCCUUGACACACGAGUCCGUCCUCGACGUAGUCGCAUAGGCAGCGUCGGUCCGGCCGCACCGAUGUGGCGGGGUUGCGCGCCCGCGGGGCUGGUGGUGGCGCAGAAGAGCUCCAUCGGUCGAUCCAGCUGGAGCCACCUCGGCCUCUGUGACCGGCAAUCACCACGCGCGCGAGGCUCCCUCCUCCACCGUCAACACGGCGCCGCGCACCGGCAUAUUGGCCGACUGCUGCCUCCGUCGACCACCAUCGAGGAUUCAAAUCACAGCAGCUUCACACGCCUCUUCCCGCUCCUCGCCUCGCCGCCGCACGCCUCCUCUCCUGACAUCGCACAGCUUCGGGUACGACGCAGGCUGCAUAACUGCCGAUUGGCUCGCCGCCGGCCGCCUCACCGCCUGCGCAAGGGCUCUCUCUCUCGCUCCUCUGUCCCAUGCACGAUGAAGAAAUGGCGAGAGAGUGGGAACGAAGAAAAGGAUAAGAGAGGUGCGGCCGUGCGUGUGUUCCGGGACGAGGCGAGUUUUUCCGAACGGGCUCAAAGCGUGACGUGGCGCCGUGGUUGCUUUAUGAUUCGUGCACACAAUCCAACGGCGCUGAGCGCGUUCGGGCCGAGAUGCGAAAACGCAGCGCGUUCGGGAGUUAUCGAUUCCGAAAGAAUUAAAAGAGGCACGUACGUAAAAAUACGUUUGCCCUCCCUCCGCGACGUCUCCCGCGAGGCGGCCCGGCGGCCAUCCCCAACCCUCGCCGCCGCUCCCUCCUCCCCCUCCUCCUCCCUCGCCGCGCCCAGGGGCGCGGCCGAGCGAAGCCCUGCUGCUGCUGGAGGCGGGGGGGCCCUUGGUCUCCCCGCUUGGGCGGUGCUGGCGCCGGCCGGCGCCCUGGGCCGGUGGCGACGGCUCCGGUGGUGCGUGCCCGGCGGCUCCGGCGCUUGGAGCUUGCCGGGCGACGCGGAUGGGCAGCGGCCGGGCAUGGCUGCUGCUCCGGCCGUGGGCGGCGGCAUGGGUAGGUCUCGGUGGCCUACCGGUGUCGUGGCGGCUUCACGGUUGCUCGAUGGAUCUGUCCGCGGCAACGGCCGGCUUCUCCGGCGUCGGUUUGUCUGCGUUCGGGCCUCUCGACCUUCACCCCAUCUCCUCGUCUCCCGGGCGCUCCUCCCAUCAAAGGGCUGGUCCUCUCCCAGCUGCGGUCCACCGCUCGUCUCACGCCCGAUGCCGCAGGGCAGAGCUCGUCUCACGCACGAUGCAGCAGGACCGAGCUCAUCUCGCGCACGAUGCAGCAGGACUGACCUCGUCCCCUUCUCGUUGCUGCAGGACCGAGCUCAUCUUGCGCUUGGGGCAGCAGGAUGGGUUGGUGGAUGCCAGUUCAGGCCGACCUAUUGGGUCUCGAUGCUGGGGGUCGCCCAGGGGCACGAAAGUCACCAUGGUCGUGUGGGCGGCGUGGUUGCCGGGGUGUGGCGUUUGGUGGCGGGGGUAAAGCUCAGCUCAGUUAAACCCUUAUCGCCAAACCGCCGCCGCCGCCGUCGUCGCCCUCUCGUGUCCUCCGUCAUGCCGGUCCUGGCGCUUGCGGCGCCGCUGGACAACGAUGAUCUCCUCCGUGAGAUCUUCCUCCUCCUGCCUCCGCGGCCUUCCUCCCUGCUCCGCGUCUCUGUCGUGUGCAAGCGCUGGCGCCGCCUCGUUUCAGAUCCCGGCUUUCUCCGCCGCUUCCGCGCGCACCACGGGAAGCCCCCGGUCCUCGGCUUCUUCUGCGUCAAUGCUGGUACCGGUUAUUACUUCAGUCCCACGCUGGACCCGCUCGACUGCAUCCCCGCCGCGCGAUUCUCCCUGCCGCAGCGCCGCGGCGAGAGCUUAGACUUCGUGGAAUGCCGCCACGGCCUCGUCCUUUUCCUCAACAAGAAACAGCCCGAGGCCAUCGUGUGGAACCCCAUCUCCGGCCACCAGCACCGAGUAGCUGUUCCACCAGGAUUUGGCAACGCUAGAGGGAUGGAGAUCCUAUACGCGGCGGUGCUCUGCGCUGCCGGUGAUGACGAGCAUGGCCAUGUUCACGACGACUGCGACCUGGACUAUUUUAAGUUGGCCUUGGUGCACAUGGGCGUAGAAGACCACAUGCAUAAGCUUGUUGUGAUUGAGAAGCCACUAGAUUGCGAGAUUGCCUACCGUGGCCGUCCGCGCCUCCGAAUCGUGCGGACGGAGGAGGGAGGUCUUGGACUCAUCGGUUACACAGGACUGAGCCUGCAGUUAUGGGAGCGGAAGGUCAAUUAUGAUGAUGUUGCUACAUGGGUCCUUCAGAAAACCAUUGAUCUGCUUGAGCACCUUUCGCCCGUCGAGCUCAAAUGGAGUUGGAUACAUGGGUACGAUGAGGAUGACAAUGUGAUAUUUCUUUGCGCACUUAAUGGUUCUUUAAUGGUCCAACUUGACUCAAUACAGUCCGGUAACUGUUUUCGGACCAAUCUCGACGGCACUACACCUCCAGAAAGAAAAGAUAUCAACACCACCUACAUUCCCUACAAAAGUUUUUAUGCCGCAGUAGUUUGUUUCCAACAUCGCCCUCCAAGAUGUUGCCUAACCAAGUUUGUUUCCAGUGCUGAAGGUGGUGUGCACAAUCUGGCGGCCACGGUCAUAGGCAUCCACAAACCGUUUGAAAGCUCGGACCGAUCAAUGCUUCCUCGAGCACGGCUGCAUUGCAAGGCAUGUCAUGUCAUAUUUUGGAGUAGUUUGAAUAUCAACUUCUUGGUGACGCCUAUUUGUGUUGGGCUUGUCAUUGGCUCGGCCGGCGCCUUGCCUAUUUGGCUUCUGGUGCUUUGUGGUCUUGUACUCUUUCCGGCCUUCGCCGUGAUUUCACCAUCCACUUUCCUUGUGCAACAAUUCCAGUUGGGAAGUUUGUCUCUGAAGAUGCAGUGUUUCCCCCAGCAUCUGCAUUUUGAGAUGCACGCAGCCAAUAAUCUUCGUGGCUAUGAUGCCAGAUCUUACGUUUGGAACUAG